AACGUAGGUGGCAAGCGUUAUCCGGAAUUACUGGGCGUAAAGGGCGCGUAGGCGGCCUGCUAAGUCGAACGUGAAAUCCCCGGGCUUAACCCGGGAACUGCGUCCGAUACUGGUUGGCUUGAAUUCGGGAGAGGGAUGCGGAAUUCCAGGUGUAGCGGUGAAAUGCGUAGAUAUCUGGAGGAACACCGGUGGCGAAGGCGGCAUCCUGGACCGGCAUUGACGCUGAGGCGCGAAAGCCAGGGGAGCAAACGGG
rnacentral:rRNA from 1 species